rnacentral:sRNA from 1 species
GUAAUAGUUUUGGUAAACUCAAGGGUGGUUCGGUGUCAUCCCCAAAAAGGGAGGGGGUGGUGCCUAUAUGAUGACGGUGUAUGAAGCUUUGAUGCUGAUGGUCACGUUCGGUAUGUUGAUCGUGGCGAUGCUGUCACAAAAAUAAAUCACCCUUGAGUUGACGGCUCGAGCGGGUGAUUUAUUUUCUCCUGGCCGAUCCCCCUUGCAGGGAACCAAGCUAUUGCAGGACCGUAGGUGUUAGCGCACCUGCG